rnacentral:tRNA from 1 species
GGCGUAGCUCAGCUGGUAGAGCAUCUGAUUUGUAAUCAGAGGGUCGGGGGUUCGAUUCCCUUCGCC